GAUGAACGCUGGCGGCGUGCCUAAUACAUGCAAGUCGAGCGAACAGAUAAGGAGCUUGCUCCUUUGACGUUAGCGGCGGACGGGUUAGUAACACGUGGAUAACCUACCUAUAAGACUGGGAUAACUUCGGGAAACCGGAGCUAAUACCGGAUAACAUAUUGAACCGCAUGGUUCAAUAGUGAAAGGCGGCUUUGCUGUCACUUAUAGAUGGAUCCGCGCCGUAUUAGCUAGUUGGUAAGGUAACGGCUUACCAAGGCAACGAUACGUAGCCGACCUGAGAGGGUGAUCGGCCACACUGGAACUGAGACACGGUCCAGACUCCUACGGGAGGCAGCAGUAGGGAAUCUUCCGCAAUGGGCGAAAGCCUGACGGAGCAACGCCGCGUGAGUGAUGAAGGUCUUCGGAUCGUAAAACUCUGAUAUCAGGGAAGAACAAAUGUGUAAGUAACUGUGCACAUCUUGACGGUACCUGAUCAGAAAGCCACGGCUAACUACGUG
rnacentral:rRNA from 1 species